rnacentral:rRNA from 1 species
UACGUAGGUGGCAAGCGUUGUCCGGAAUUACUGGGCGUAAAGCGUGCGCAGGCGGCUUCUCAAGUCAGGGGUGAAAGCCCAGAGCUCAACUCUGGAAUUGCCUUUGAGACUGAGUGGCUUGAGUACGAGAGAGGUGAGUGGGAUUCCCAGUGUAGAGGUGAAAUUCGUAGAUAUUGGGAAGAACACCGGUGGCGAAGGCGGCUCACUGGCUCGUAACUGACGCUCAUGCACGACAGCGUGGGGAUCAAACAGG